rnacentral:rRNA from 1 species
AGGGCGCACGGUGGAUGCCUUGACACUAGGAGUCGAUGAAGGACGGGACUAACGCCGAUAUGCUUCGGGGAGCUGUAAGUAAGCUUUGAUCCGAAGAUUUCCGAAUGGGGAAACCCACCAUACGUAAUGGUAUGGUAUCCUUAUCUGAAUACAUAGGAUAAGGAAGACAGACCCAGGGAACUGAAACAUCUAAGUACCUGGAGGAAGAGAAAGCAAAUGCGAUUUCCUGAGUAGCGGCGAGCGAAACGGAACAUAGCCCAAACCAAGAGGCUUGCCUCUUGGGGUUGUAGGACAUUCUAUACGGAGUUACAAAGGAACGAGGUAGACGAAGCGACCUGGAAAGGUCCGUCGUAGAGGGUAACAACCCCGUAGUCGAAACUUCGUUCUCUCUUGAAUGUAUCCUGAGUACGGCGGAACACGUGAAAUUCCGUCGGAAUCUGGGAGGACCAUCUCCCAAGGCUAAAUACUCCCUAGUGAUCGAUAGUGAACCAGUACCGUGAGGGAAAGGUGAAAAGCACCCCGGAAGGGGAGUGAAAGAGAUCCUGAAACCGUGUGCCUACAAAUAGUCAGAGCCCGUUAACGGGUGAUGGCGUGCCUUUUGUAGAAUGAACCGGCGAGUUACGAUCCCGUGCGAGGUUAAGCUGAAGAGGCGGAGCCGCAGCGAAAGCGAGUCUGAAUAGGGCGUUUAGUACGUGGUCGUAGACCCGAAACCAGGUGAUCUACCCAUGUCCAGGGUGAAGUUCAGGUAACACUGAAUGGAGGCCCGAACCCACGCACGUUGAAAAGGGUGGGUAGCGGAGAAAUUCCAAUCGAACCUGGAGAUAGCUGGUUCUCCCCGAAAUAGCUUUAGGGCUAGCCUUAAGUGUAAGAGUCUUGGAGGUAGAGCACUGAUUGGACUAGGGGUCCUCAUCGGAUUACCGAAUUCAGUCAAACUCCGAAUGCCAAUGACUUAUCCUUAGGAGUCAGACUGCGAGUGAUAAGAUCCGUAGUCAAAAGGGAAACAGCCCAGACCGCCAGCUAAGGUCCCAAAGUGUGUAUUAAGUGGAAAAGGAUGUGGAGUUGCUUAGACAACUAGGAUGUUGGCUUAGAAGCAGCCACCAUUUAAAGAGUGCGUAAUAGCUCACUAGUCGAGUGACUCUGCGCCGAAAAUGUACCGGGGCUAAAUACACCACCGAAGCUGCGGAUUGAUACCAAUGGUAUCAGUGGUAGGGGAGCGUUCUAAGGACAGUGAAGUCAGACCGGAAGGACUGGUGGAGUGCUUAGAAGUGAGAAUGCCGGUAUGAGUAGCGAAAGACGGGUGAGAAUCCCGUCCACCGAAUGCCUAAGGUUUCCUGAGGAAGGCUCGUCCGCUCAGGGUUAGUCAGGACCUAAGCCGAGGCCGACAGGCGUAGGCGAUGGACAACAGGUUGAUAUUCCUGUACCACCUCUUUAUCGUUUGAGCAAUGGAGGGACGCAGAAGGAUAGAAGAAGCGUGCGAUUGGUUGUGCACGUCCAAGCAGUUAGGCUGAUAAGUAGGCAAAUCCGCUUAUCGUGAAGGCUGAGCUGUGAUGGGGAAGCUCCUUAUGGAGCGAAGUCUUUGAUUCCCCGCUGCCAAGAAAAGCUUCUAGCGAGAUAAAAUGCCUGUACCGCAAACCGACACAGGUAGGCGAGGAGAGAAUCCUAAGGUGUGCGAGAGAACUCUGGUUAAGGAACUCGGCAAAAUGACCCCGUAACUUCGGGAGAAGGGGUGCUUUCUUAACGGAAAGCCGCAGUGAAUAGGCCCAAGCGACUGUUUAGCAAAAACACAGCUCUCUGCGAAGCCGUAAGGCGAAGUAUAGGGGGUGACACCUGCCCGGUGCUGGAAGGUUAAGGAGAGGGGUUAGCGUAAGCGAAGCUCUGAACUGAAGCCCCAGUAAACGGCGGCCGUAACUAUAACGGUCCUAAGGUAGCGAAAUUCCUUGUCGGGUAAGUUCCGACCCGCACGAAAGGUGUAACGAUUUGGGCACUGUCUCAACCAGAGACUCGGUGAAAUUAUAGUACCUGUGAAGAUGCAGGUUACCCGCGACAGGACGGAAAGACCCCGUGGAGCUUUACUGUAGCCUGAUAUUGAAUUUUGGUACAGUUUGUACAGGAUAGGCGGGAGCCUUUGAAACCGGAGCGCUAGCUUCGGUGGAGGCGCUGGUGGGAUACCGCCCUGACUGUAUUGAAAUUCUAACCUACGGGUCUUAUCGACCCGGGAGACAGUGUCAGGUGGGCAGUUUGACUGGGGCGGUCGCCUCCUAAAUGUAACGGAGGCGCCCAAAGGUUCCCUCAGAAUGGUUGGAAAUCAUUCGUAGAGUGCAAAGGCAUAAGGGAGCUUGACUGCGAGACCUAAGUCGAGCAGGGACGAAAGUCGGGCUUAGUGAUCCGGUGGUUCCGCAUGGAAGGGCCAUCGCUCAACGGAUAAAAGCUACCCCGGGGAUAACAGGCUUAUCUCCCCCAAGAGUCCACAUCGACGGGGAGGUUUGGCACCUCGAUGUCGGCUCAUCGCAUCCUGGGGCUGUAGUCGGUCCCAAGGGUUGGGCUGUUCGCCCAUUAAAGCGGUACGCGAGCUGGGUUCAGAACGUCGUGAGACAGUUCGGUCCCUAUCCGUCGUGGGCGUAGGAAAUUUGAGAGGAGCUGUCCUUAGUACGAGAGGACCGGGAUGGACGCACCGCUGGUGUACCAGUUGUUCUGCCAAGGGCAUAGCUGGGUAGCUAUGUGCGGAAGGGAUAAGUGCUGAAAGCAUCUAAGCAUGAAGCCCCCCUCAAGAUGAGAUUUCCCAUAGCGUAAGCUAGU